CCCUUCUUCAUUGACAAAAACCCGAACCCGAGUAAUGUCGAACAUUCUAUCAGUUGGAGUUCCUUCUAACAACACCACUGCUUUCACAUUUGGAUUCUCUUUCUCGAUCUUCGCUGCUGCAACGUCUCCUUUCUCCCCAACCAGCUCCGGCCACGACUGUUUACCUGUAAAUUAAUAAGAACAAAUCACAGGUAGAGCUUAUUAUUUUACAUUUUAUGGAUGUCAGAAAUGCAACGCCGGACAACUAAUAGAGCUUUAGGCUUUCCCCAUUCAACCAGUGAAGAAAGCAUAGAGCAAAGGAAAAUAUCACACCAUUAAUUUACUAAUUAUAGCCUUACCUGGGGGCUUAAACGGUCCAGAUGAAAACCCAUCAGCAUAGCCUGCACCCACAAAUGCAAGCGCAGAGCCAAUCGCUGCAGAACCAACAAUGAGCGCAUCGACAAUGGACCUCCGAGAAACGCCUCCUUGGACUGCUUGAUGAUCUUUAUUCAGCGGCUGAUUCUGAGCCCUGCACACAAGCCUGCAGGGCUUGAUGUUGGGGCGGUGGCGCUGUGGGGAUGAAGAUCUUGGAAUUAAUGGUGCGUGGAUGAAAGCUUGGUGAUGCAAGAAACAUGCCGUAGACGCCAUUUUCCCUCUUCGCUUUGCUUUGCUCUGAGCUCUUUUCCUUGUAUGUCAGUCUAUUAAACUAAUGUAAUGAAAAAUGAAAUUGGUCCCCUAUUUAUUUACUACUACGAGAAGUAGAUAAGAUUGCGAAAGGCUCUGAUUGGUGUGCCCCUCACCCGUGUCAAACUUUAGAGUGGAAUCAAAUUUUAGCAUAUUUUUUUCUAGAGAAUAAUUGCUCCUGUUUCUUUUUCUUUCUUUGGGCACAUUUUACAGGUGACCUUGAAUUAAUAAUAUCUAUUCAAAUUGGACAUGAUCCGGGUUUGGUUGCUUGUUGGAUUCUUUUUUGGUCAUGUUCACUUUCACAUGGCAAACGGGUGAGUGAGUACAAGUUUAAUGUUGAUGGCUCCAUUAGAGGGAAACUGGGUCCAGCAUAUGACAAUCAAAUAUUCCCUUCGUCUAUUGGCAUUAUCUUCACUUGCAGGCUCCAAAAAACUUGUGAUAGAUUCAAAUUCUACGGUUGCAAUUUCGUAGGUGGUGAAGAGAGAUCAGAGACCAUGGGACAAUCAAAUAUUUUCACAUGAUUCUAGGCCAAUAAUUUGAAAGAAACUUAAUUACACAAAAAUAUUGCAACAUUUAAGAUGUUAACAAAAAAUAUUGAUGAAGUGGAAUGAGGAGAACUUGAAUUGGUUUUACUUGUAAUUUUAUAUAGAAGUUAAGAGGAACAGCAAAUUGGUUUACUUGGAUUUACAAGAAGAAAUUUAUUUAGCUUAGCUUUGAUUUAUGUUAAAGAUGUACCCGUGAAUUGCUAUGAAAAAACUUAUCACCACGCUGUAAUAAAAAGGUGCGUGGUUAUCAACAGUGGACCUUAAGAGGACUUGCUUGUAUUCGAACCGAAAUUAUUCUGAUAUUGAGUCCAAAGCGUUGAGUAAUUUUUAUGCUCAAUCCUUCAAGCAUGGAAAGAAAUGGAAAGGUAAAGCUAAGUUUCAACCAUGUUUUUAUUAUAAAAAAUGAAAUCACACAGAAAAGUUCUCUGGCAUAAACGUCUUGGGCAUGUCCAUUAUGGCUCUCUAAAAGUGAUGUCUUCAUCUAACAUGGUAGAAGGACUACCAGCUGUAUCAUCAAUUGAUAACUGUCGUGACGUGCGGGUCCGGGAACCCGUCCGCCAGACGCGGGGCGAAAAUUAAAAUCGUGUGGUGUGGGAGUCGCCACCAAUCUUUUUUAUCUAGGUGUGAUUGGUCACCUAUUAACUCGAUUCUUAAUCGACGAAGCCCUAAAUUAAUUUUAGGUCCGUCGAAAGAACGAGAACUGGUCCACGUUUUUUAGAGAUGGGUUCGGGAGUGCGAUUAGGCACGGAGAAGGGUUUGCACCUCCGUGACGCCCGUUCUACGAACGGUACCAUUUAAUCUUAAGUUAUCUUAAUAUAGCCUUUUCUUAGUUUAAUCCCUAUUUUAUUAAUUAAAUUUUUAUUGAAUUGUCAGACUGAGUUUUUCACUUGGUCUUACGUAUGCAUAUGAUGCAAGCGUAGAAUGAUGUCGUGACUUGUUUAUUUUAAAUGAUGGAGUCGGUAAUCUUUUAUUGGAAAAUUAUUCGAAGACUAUCCCAACGCUUUGGUGAAGUCUCGAAAUUCUCCUCACCUAGAGAUAUCCCCGGAAGAACUCGUCUCUACGAGCUCCUCGGGGAAAUCCCAUCAUCGGGAUUCCCGCGCCAUUUGCAAAAUAUGAGUGGCAUGCAAUGACAGUGUAAAAUGAUGGUAUCUAUAUGCACGCGUUUAUUGAUUGUUUAAAAAAUUUUGGUUAUUUAUUUAUUAUUUAUUAUUUAUUAUUAUUUAUUUAUUAUUUUUAUAUAUACUUUAUUUUUUGGUUAUUUAAAUCCAUGUUUGUUGUUGGUCAAUUUUUACUUGUUUACAAAGCUUAUCUAAAUAAUUAAUUAAUUAACUUUUAAAUGAUUAAUUUAACUUUGUUUAGUAAUAUUUAUUUGAAUUAACAAAAUCUUUUUACAUAUAUUAUUUUCUAAUAAUGACUAUUUGACUUAAUGGGUUUUGAAAUUUAGAGUUCAGAUUUAUCCCGACGCUUCGGUGAAAAUCCGUCUCGAAUUUCGUACCCGGAAAACAUCCGCCCGAAAGAGGCAACUCUUUGCCCCCUUUUUGGCGGUAAUACUCAAAUAUUUUCUUCCAAUUAUAUUAUUUAUUAUUAUUAUUUAUUUAUUUUUCAUUUUAUUAUUAUCUUUUAAUUUUUAUAUUUUAUAUAUAUUUUUUAUUAUUUUUUUAUCUUAAUAUAAUAUAAUAUAUAUAUAUAUUUGCAUCAUAAAUUACUAUUAUUAUUAUUUAUUUUAUUUUUUGAUUUUUAAUAUUAAAUAUAAGUGCCCAUAUUAUAUAAAUAUUUAUUCCCUAAAAAAUAAAUGCAUUUAAAUUAAAAAUGGGCUAGACCCAAGCAAAACAAAACAACAAGGGUUAUACCUUGUUGGGCUGCGAUUGGCCCAACUCGACGGCCCGUGGGAGCCCAAAUCCAGCACCCGGCCUGUUUCUGGAAGCCCGCAAGGAGAAGUCCAAAACGCACCGUUUUGAUGCCUGCGAAGCCGCUCAAAACGACGCCGUUUUGCCUGGUCCUUCCAGCUUCUGCUUGCCUCUCUGAAACGACGCCGUUUUGCCCACGAACCCUAGGUAUUUAAUCCCCUUUUCUCUCUUUCUCUCUUCAGUUUCACUCCUCACUUUCUCUCUCUAGCAGCGGCGCCCUCUCCCCUCUCUCUAAAAAUCUCUUCUCUCUUCCGGCGCCGGCGUCCUCCCCUCUCUUCUCGGAUUUCUCUCUCUUAGCCGGCGAAUCGCUUCGCCUUCCGUUGGCCGAAUCCUUCCCUUCCCGUCGGCCCCUCUCUCUCCUCUCAGAUCUCACCCUUUUCUCUUUGUUUUUCUUUGUGUUCUUUUCUCUCUCUUUUCUGUGGCUAAUCGCUGUUGUUUGUUUCUUUUUUGUGCAGGGUUUUAAAGAGCCGGGUUGUCCAAUUUUUUGGACAACCCGGCGAGGGGGUUCUGGCACCCCUGGAGUUGGUGGCCAGAACCCCCCAUCCCGCGUAGUGGGUGGGGGAUGGGAAGGCGAAGGGAUGGCUGGCGUACGCCCAGCCAUCCCGAUUUUUUUUUUAUUUUUUUUUAUUUUUUAUAUAUUUUUAUUUAAAUUGUUAUUUUAUUUAUUUAUUUAAUUUAAUUUAAUUUAAUUUAAAUUUUUUAUUUUAUUUGAGUGUCUACAAUAACGUAUGCAAUGUGUGUCAGUUUGGAAAACAGAUCAGAAAUUCCAUUCCUAAAAAUAGUAACUGAAGAGCAAAAGAAAACCUUCAAUUAGUUCAUUAAGAUGUGGGAGGGCCGACGAGUAUUCCUUCUUUUACUGGCAAAUUAUAUUACUUGAUUUUUAUUGAUGACCUUACCAAAAUUGGUGGGUUUACUUCAGGAAACAAAAAUCUGAAGUUUAUAACUAGUUCAUCAAGUUCAAGGCUUUGGCAGAAAAUGAGUUAGGUUUCUCUAUGAAGAUAUUACGAUAUGAUAAUGGCCUUGAGUAUUGUUCUUCGGAGUUCAAAGAUUUCUUGGCUUACAAAGGCAUCAAACAUCAACUGACUGUGCUACAUGGCCCUCAACAAAAUAGGGCCAAUGAAAGAAUGAACAAGACCCUUGUUAAGAUGGCACGGUGUUUGUUGAUUGGCAAGGGUGUACCAACAAGAUUCUGGGCAGAGGCAUUGAAUACUGCAGUGAACUUGUUGAAUUAUUUGCCAACUAAAGCUUUAGAGUCCAAGAGUGCAUUUAAAGCUUGAUAUGACAGAAAACCUUCUAUUGCUCAUUUGAAGGCAUUUAAACGCAUUGGUUAUGCAAAAGUACCUGAUGAAAAAAGAAGAAGAAAAUUUGAUUCAAAGUCUCAAACAGCCAUCCAUAUGGGAUUUAGUGGCAUUUCCAAAGGCUGUAAGCUAUAUAAUGUGGAUACAAACAAGGUCUUUAUCAAUCUGGAUGUCAAGUUUCAUGAAGGAAGUCAAUGGAAUUGGGAAAAAACUUUGAUUGAAAGUUCUAAAAAUCUUAAUAUCAAUGCUUAUCCUUUACCAUAGAUUAACAGAGAUGAAGAAGAAGAUCUUGAAGAUGAAAAUUUGGCUGUGAGAGGUACUAGAUCAUUGUAAGAUAUUUAUGAAAGAUGCAACUCAAUGAUAAUGGAACCAAACUCUGUCACUAAAGCUACACUAAGUGGAUUUUAAAGACGAAGUUGAAUACAGGUGGCUCGGUAAACAAGUUGAAAGCUCACCUGGUUGUCAAAAGGUAUUCUCAAAUUUAUGGAGUUAAUUACCUAGAAACAUCUGCCCCGAGAGCUAAGCAUGAUACCAUGAGGCUUUUAACCGCUAUUGCAGCUAAAGAGAGUUAGAAAAUAUGGCAUAUGGAUGUGGAAUUUGCCUUCCCGAAUGGUUAUAUAUCAAAAGACAUUUUUAUAGAACAGGUUGAGGGAUUUGUUGUCCAAGGCAGUGAAGAUAAAGUCUACAAACUUAUUAAUGCUUUGUAUGGCCUUAAACAAACCCUAAGGGCUAGGUGUGAAAGGAUUGACAGCUAGUUAUGUAACAAAGGCUUCAUUCGAGGUGUUAAUGAUCCAACUUUAUAUGUGAUGAAGGAAAAUGAAUUUGUGAACCUGAUAGUGUUACUGUAUCUAGAUGAUAUGCUGGUUGCAAGAUCAAAUGGCUCAAUGCUGAUGAGUUUUAAACUCAAGAUGAUGGAGGAAUUUAAGAUGACUGAUCUCGGUGAAAUGUCAUUCUUCCUAGGCAUUGAAUUUGUGCAAAAAUCGGAUGGCAUAUUUAUUCAUCAAACAAAGUUGCUAAAUAAUUACUUAAGAGGUUUAAAAAGGAGAAUUGUAAAGCUAUUGACACACCUAUGGUUUCUAGCAGCAAACUGUGCAAAAAUGAGGGAAGUUCUCUGGCAAAUGAAUCAAGGUAUAGGAGUUUGGUUGGUUGUCUCUUAUAUUUAUGAAACUUUAGACUAGUUAUAAUGUACUUUGCUAGUACACUUUCUAGAUUUUUGCAAACACCAUUUGAUUUGCAUCUGAUGGCUACUAAAAGGGUACUCAAGAAUAUCAAGGCACUGCUGACUUUGGAUUAAUGGUCAAUAAAAAUGCAAGUGAGAAUCUUCUUGACUAUUGUGACAGUGAUUGGUCCAGUAGGAUUGAAAUUCACGUAUUACAUCUAAGUUUUGUUUCUCCUUUGCCAGUGUAGUUUUCACCUGGAAUUGCAAAAAACAGGAUGUUGUAGCUUAGUCUUCUACUGCAGCUGAGUAUGUCGCAACAGCUUCAGUUGUAAAUCAUGCAAUUUGGUUAAGGAAACUGUUUUUUGAUAUUGGCUUUAAGCAAAACAAAUGUACAAAGCUUCUAAUUGAUAAUCAGUCCACCAUUACGAUUGCCAAAAAUCUUGUUUAUCAUGGUUGGACUAAUUAAACACAUAAAAGUAAAAUUUCAUGCCUUUAGAGAUGCGAUCAAAAAAGGAGAAAUUUUUGUUGAACACUGCUCUUCAAAGGACCAACUUCCUGAUAUUCUGACUAAGCUAGGAGUCACCAAACUCAACUGUAAGGAGGUGUGCUAAAAUUGAGGUUGAGUUGCUGGUCUGCAAGGUUUGCACCAAAACUCUGAGUUUGAAGCUUAGGCAGAGGUUGAAGAUGACUGGGUAUCACAUGAAAAGCAUAUGUCUAUUUCAUGUUAACUCUUUGACUAAAUCGCUGUUUAAUUUUACCCUUUUAUUGUAUUAGCCAUUUAUUCUCUCUGAAGUUGUUGUGUAAAUAGCCAAGUGUCUACAAUUCUCUUAAGAAAAUUUGUGUAGUCGUUUGAGUGAAACAUGGCAUUGCCAGCUACUAAUGCUCUGUUUUUUUCCUCUACUACUGCAUAACAAAUAGAGUAGCCAUUAAUGAAGUUUCAAAGCUUUUUUCUCUCAUCAAUUUUCUUGGAGUUUUUUUAUCUACAAAAUUAUCAUGUUCUUCAUAUAUUUAAACUUAAAAGAAGUAUGUGUUUAGUAACAUUCCAUGAAAAAUAUUGGGCAUUUAUAAUUUUGGAUAUAUAAGUCUAAAUUAACCUAUAAAAACAUUCAUGUAAGUUAGUUUCAUUAGUCAUUAAUAAUUAUAUAUACCGACAAUAUUUUUAAUCUAAAAUCAUCUCUUUGUGCGCAAACAGUGAAUAACUUACUCUUUCCUCCAUAUUUUUUCCCAUCUUUUCUUUUUGAAUGUCUUAAAAUAAUGAUUUCACCUACAUAUUUUCCACGUUCACACUAAUUUCUAGGAAAUUUCAUUUUCAAGUUGGGCAAUGCAAGCUGCAACUUCGAACGAUGAGUUCUUUUCUCCAGUUAUUGGUUUUUUCAAUUUCUUCUCUAUUCCUAAAAAUCAUUUUAGCUCCUCUGUUCUCCAGCUUAAGUUUCAUCAGAAAUUUUACACAUGCGUUGGUCUGAUGGCAGGGAUUGCUCAGAGUGUAAGGGAAAUGCUGCUGGGUCUAGUUUUUCAUAUGCUGCAAUAAGAGUUAUUACUGGGCACAGACUUAGUCAUGCUAGUCCAGUUUAACAAAGGCAUCUGUAGCUUUGUUUAACACCGGUGGCUUUUACUACCAGUUGUAAGGAAACUAUGGGAGAAGAAAAAUUUUUGUUGAAUUAUAACAGAGCAAACGAUGACAUAUGAUGCUCUGAUAUGGAGUAAAAAACUGAUAAAACAGAGAAGGAUUAGCUGAAGGUUCUGCACUGCUUUCAUUCAACUAUAAGCAAAAUAUUUAUACAAAUUAUAUAAGCUUAACAGCUGUUAACACAAAAGACAAGUGUUAAGCUGCAUCUAAAACUAAGCAUGCAAGAUGACACAUCAUAGACACCUGUGCAAAACACUCAACAACCAGUACAACGAAGCAAAGCCAUAACAGACAAAAUGAUAAAGUCUCUGUUUUAUAUCUCUAAAACAGAGUAUACAAAGAGAGAAGGUCAUACUAGUUUCAUUCAUAUUCAACAAAUAUAUACACAGCUUCAUUAACACAAGUCAUCAACAAAUAUAACACUUGUUAAUACAUGAGAAACAAGUGUAAAAUAUGAUUAUCAUAGUGACAUGCAUAGCUACACGUAGUGGUCUUCAACACUAAGCAAACACAUACAAACACGCAGGAUAUCCAAGUGGAUUGUCACUUGUCAUUUUGUCCACUUGACACAUGCAAGCAUUAACUCCAACACCAGUACCAGGUAGCUGUAAAUGAUAUUAUCAAGCAAUAUAUGAAUCAGCCUCUUUUUUUAAAAGAAAACUCACCGUGAGCAGGAAAGUGUUUAUUCAUAACAUUGAUUCUUAACGGACCAACAGUAGCAUAUUAGCACAAUGAUAUGCAUUGUAGAGAUCUAGCCAAUCCGAGGCACUUGAGUCACUAUCCCGUCUGCAUCGACAACAACCCGAACCCUACCAAAAUCGAACCUCAUAUCGGCUAUAUCUCCCUCAAACAACAGCACUGCUUUCACAUUUGGAUUCUCUUUCUCGAUCUUCGCUGCUGCAACCUCUCCUUUCUCCCCAACCAGCUCCGGCCACGACUCUUUACCUGUAAAUUAAUAUGAACAAAUCACAGGUAGAGCUUGUUGUUUUACAUUUUAUGGAUGUCAGAAAUGCAACGCCGGACAACAAAUAUAGCUUUAGGCUUCCCCCAUUGAACCAGUGAAGAAAGCAUAGAGCAGAGGAAAAUAUCACACCAUUAAUUUACUAAUUAUAGCCUU
rnacentral:lncRNA from 1 species